rnacentral:rRNA from 1 species
UACGUAGGGUGCGAGCGUUGUCCGGAAUUAUUGGGCGUAAAGAGCUCGUAGGCGGUUUGUCGCGUCUGCUGUGAAAACCCGAGGCUCAACCUCGGGCCUGCAGUGGGUACGGGCAGACUAGAGUGUGGUAGGGGAGACUGGAAUUCCUGGUGUAGCGGUGAAAUGCGCAGAUAUCAGGAGGAACACCGAUGGCGAAGGCAGGUCUCUGGGCCACUACUGACGCUGAGAAGCGAAAGCAUGGGGAGCGAACAGG